rnacentral:rRNA from 1 species
GAUGAACGCUGGCGGCGCGCCUAACACAUGCAAGUCGAACGGCACCCACCCUCGGGUGGAAGCGAGUGGCGAACGGCUGAGUAACACGUGACCAACCUGCCCUGCGCUUCGGGAUAGCCGCGGGAAACCGCGGGCAAUACCGGAUGGCCCCGGGCCGCCCCAUGGCGGCGCGGGCAAAGCUCCGGCGGCGCGGGAUGGGGUCGCGGCCCAUCAGGUAGACGGCGGGCGACGGCCCACCGUGCCGAUGACGGGUAGCCGGGUUGAGAGACCGAACGGCCAGAUUGGGACUGAGACACGGCCCAGACUCCUACGGGAGGCAGCAGUGGGGAAUCUUGCGCAAUGGGGGGAACCCUGACGCAGCGACGCCGCGUGCGGGAGGAAGGCCUUCGGGUCGCAGACCGCUUUCAGCAGGGAAGAGAUCAGACGGUACCUGCAGAAGAAGCCCCGGCUAACUACGUGCCAGCAGCCGCGGUAAUACGUAGGGGGCAAGCGUUAUCCGGAUUCAUUGGGCGUAAAGCGCGCGCAGGCGGCCAGGCAGGCCGGGCCGCCCGGCUCGGGUCCGGUAGGGGAGGGU